GAUCCUGGCUCAGAACGAACGCUGGCGGCGUGCUUGAACACAUGCAAGUCGAACGAGAAAUCUUGGGGCAACUGAGUGAGUAAAGUGGCGCACGGGUGAGUAACGCGUGGGUAACCUACCCUUGAGUUGGGGAUAACUCCGCGAAAGCGGGCUAAUACCGAAUAAUAUGUCGGGGUCUUCGGAUCUCGCCAUCAAAGAUGGCCUCUGCAUGCAAGCUACCGCUUAAGGAUGGGCCCGCGUACCAUUAGCUUGUUGGUAGGGUAAAAGCCUACCAAGGCAACGAUGGUUAGCUGGUCUGAGAGGAUGGCCAGCCACACUGGAACUGAGACACGGUCCAGACUCCUACGGGAGGCAGCAGUGGGGAAUCUUGCGCAAUGGGGGAAACCCUGACGCAGCAACGCCGCGUGGGUGAUGAAGGCCUUCGGGUCGUAAAGCCCUGUCAGGUGGGAAGAAACUUGUUGAUGCCAAUACCAUCAGCACUUGACGGUACCACUGGAGGAAGCACCGGCUAACUCCGUGCCAGCAGCCGCGGUAA
rnacentral:rRNA from 1 species